GAACGCUGGCGGCAUGCUUUACACAUGCAAGUCGAACGGUAACAGGCCGCAAGGUGCUGACGAGUGGCGAACGGGUGAGUAAUGCAUCGGAACGUGCCCAGUCGUGGGGGAUAACGCAGCGAAAGCUGCGCUAAUACCGCAUACGAUCUAUGGAUGAAAGCGGGGGAUCGCAAGACCUCGCGCGAUUGGAGCGGCCGAUAUCAGAUUAGGUAGUUGGUGGGGUAAAGGCUCACCAAGCCAACGAUCUGUAGCUGGUCUGAGAGGACGACCAGCCACACUGGAACUGAGACACGGUCCAGACUCCUACGGGAGGCAGCAGUGGGGAAUUUUGGACAAUGGACGCAAGUCUGAUCCAGCCAUUCCGCGUGCAGGAUGAAGGCCCUCGGGUUGUAAACUGCUUUUGUACGGAACGAAAAGGUCUCUCUUAAUACGGGGGGCUCAUGACGGUACCGUAAGAAUAAGCACCGGCUAACUACGUG
rnacentral:rRNA from 1 species